rnacentral:misc_RNA from 1 species
AACUUUUAGCAAUGGAUCUCUUGGCUCUCGCAUCGUUGAAGAACGCAGCGAAAUGCGAUACGUAAUGUGAAUUGCAGAAUUCAGUGAAUCAUCGAAUCUUUGAACGCACCUUGCGCCCCUUGGAAUUCCGAGGGGCACACCCGUUUGAGUGUUGUGAACAUCCUUCAACCUUUCUUGGUUUCUUAACCGGGGAAGGCUUGGACUUUGGGGGUCUUUCAUUGCUGGCCUCUUUGAAGCCAGCUCCUCCUAAAUGGAUUAGUGUGGUCUGCUUUGCCGAUCCUUGACGUGAUAAGAUGUUUCUACGUCUUGGGUUUCGCACUGUCGCUUUAGACCGCGCUUCUAACCGUCUUGCAUUCAAGACAGAGUUUUAAACCUUGACCUCAAAUCGGGUGAGACUACCCGCUGAACUUAAGCAUAUCAAUAAGCGGAGGCU